AGGGUGCUGACCAGCGGACCAUCUUCCAUGGCCUCUGCCGCGCUGGAGCUGCUGCGGGGCUGUCCUGCCAGCUUGUGCUCCCGCCCCGAAGCGUCCUCCUCCACUGGCGACACACGCACUGAAGCCCGAGUCUUCCCGCUGGGGAGAUGGAAGGGAGUCAAGGAUGUUGCCAUGUAUGUGCCAUCUCUGCCCUAAGCCAAUAUCAUGAAGAAAUCAACAAGAGGUGGAAUAAACUGAGCAAUUCAUCACCAUAUUAAGCUGGAUAUUCCUGUUUAGUAAAUAUCUUUCCCUAGCUGCGUCUUCAUCAGGAGUAGAAUCCACAUCAAGAAAAGAUGUUCUUGGCUCAUUCAGAAGAAACAACACCUCCUUCAUUCAAGUUUGAUUGUGAGAUGGCAGCAAUUCAGUCACAUCUUCAGGCUCCACUUCUAACUGUACUUCUCUUGCUGUGUCUACCACAUCUGCAGUUACUUCCUCCACAGAAGUCUUGAGCCCCCUAAAGUCAACUAUGAGCGUUGGAAUCAACUUCUCCCAAAUCCUGUUAAUGUGGCUAUUUUGACCUUCUCCUAUGAAUCAUGAAUGUUCUUAAUGGCAUCUAGAAUGAUUAAUUCUUUCCAAAGUCUUUCAAUUUACUUUGCCCAGAUCCAUUAGAGGAAUCAAGAUCAAUGGCAGCUAUGGCCCAACAAAAUGUAUUUCUUUCUUUUUUUUUUUUUUUUUUUUUGAGAUGGAGU